UACGUAGGGUGUAAGCGUUAAUCGGAAUUACUGGGCGUAAAGCGUGCGCAGGCGGUCUUGCAAGUCAGAUGUGAAAUCCCCGGGCUUAACCUGGGAACUGCAUUUGUGACUGCAAGGCUGGAGUGCGGCAGAGGGGGAUGGAAUUCCGCGUGUAGCAGUGAAAUGCGUAGAUAUGCGGAGGAACACCGAUGGCGAAGGCAAUCCCCUGGGCCUGCACUGACGCUCAUGCACGAAAGCGUGGGGAGCAAACAGG
rnacentral:rRNA from 1 species